AUUUCUGACGAGUCCCAAAUAGGACGAAAUGCGCGUCCUGGAU
rnacentral:hammerhead_ribozyme from 1 species